rnacentral:rRNA from 1 species
CUCUGACCUCAAAUCAGGUAGGACUACCCGCUGAACUUAAGCAUAUCAAUAA